AGAGUUUGAUCCUGGCUCAGGACGAACGCUGGCGGCGUGCCUAACACAUGCAAGUCGAACGAGGCAGCCCUUUCGGGGGCUAGUCGAGUGGCGGACGGGUGAGUAACACGUAAGCAAUCUAUCCUGUUGCGGGGGACAACGAGGGGAAACCUUCGCUAAUACCGCAUGGUCGAGAGCCUCGAUGAGGUUUUCGGGAAACGUGGCCUCUUUACAAUGCUACGGUGGCAGGAGGAGCUCGCGGGCUAUCAGCUAGUUGGUGAGGUAACGGCUCACCAAGGCAGCGACGGCUACGGGGUCUGAGAGGACGACCCCGCACAUUGGAACUGAGACACGGUCCAGACUCCUACGGGAGGCAGCAGUGGGGAAUAUUGGGCAAUGGCCGAAAGGCUGACCCAGCGACGCCGCGUGUGGGAGGAAGCCCUUCGGGGUGUAAACCACUGUCAGGAGGGACGAAAGAUUUCACGGUGAAUAAUCGUGAGAAGUGACGGUACCUUCAAAGGAAGCACCGGCUAACUCUGUGCCAGCAGCCGCGGUAAUACAGAGGGUGCAAGCGUUGUUCGGAAUUACUGGGCGUAAAGCGCGCGCAGGCGGGUCCUGUAAGUCGGAAGUGAAAUUUCACGGCUCAACCGUGAAGCUGCUUCUGAUACUGCGGAUCUGGAGAUCGGUAGAGGUCGGUGGAAUUACAGGUGUAGCGGUGGAAUGCGUAGAUAUCUGUAAGAAA
rnacentral:rRNA from 1 species